CAUUUAAGGUCACAGUGACCUUGACCUUAGAAUGAAUGACCUUGAAAUGACCAGUGGUCAUCUAAGUGUGCUUGCAAACCUUCAUGUCAAGUUUGAAGACUCUAUGUCCAAGCAUACCAAAGUUAUAACAAUUUUAACAUUUUAACAUUUAAGGUCACAGUGACCUUGACCUUCAAAUGAAUGACAUUGAAAUGACCAGUGGUCAUCUUCUAGUACUGGCCAAUCUUUAUUUCAAGUUUGAAGACUCUAGGUCCAAGCAUACCAAAGUUAUAACAUGAAAUAAGAACUUUAACAUUUUUACAUUCAAGGUCACAGUGACCUUGACCUUCAAAUGAAUGACCUUGAAAUGUCCAGUGGUUACUUACUAGUUCUGGCCAACCUUCAUGUCAAGUUUCAAGACUCUAGGUCCAAGCAUACCAAAGUUAGAACAACUUUAACAUUUUUACAUUCAAGGUCACAGUGACCUUGACCUUCAAAUGAAUGACCUUGAAAUGUCCAGUGGUUACUUACUAGUUCUGGCCAACCUUCAUGUCAAGUUUCAAGACUCUAGGUCCAAGCAUACCAAAGUUAUAACAACUUUAACAUUUUUAUAUAGCUACAGUAGGACAUUCAAUGAAAUCACGAAAUUUUGACGAACAAAGUCCCAUAACUCUGGAACGACAAUUCAGAAUUCCGUCAAAAACGAAAGGGGAUCAGGGUUUAUCAAUAUUAAGAUUGUGUUAAAAUUUGAAGAAAAUCUGUCAAAGGAUAUUUGACGUAGCGUACGACAUUAACAGACGGACGGACGGACGGACGCGGGGUAUACCAUAAUACGUCCCGUAA